rnacentral:tRNA from 1 species
GUGAGGGUAGGUUAGCUGGCCCAUACUACGGGACUGUGGCUCUCGUGACGCGGGUUCAAAUCCCGCCCCUCGCC